UGACAGUGCUCGAUCAGGCCGAGUCGACGGUAUAGAUGGUUUUGUUGAUAAUACGGGCACAGAAACCAUACAGACUGUGCAACAAUGCGGGCUGCAGACAUGUGAGGCCAGAUGGGCAUGACCAACUGGGGCAUGAUACUGGACCAGUAGUGGCAACAAUGCGGGCUGAAGACAUGUGAGGCCAGAUGGACAGGACCAACUGGGUCAUGAUACUGGACCAGAUGCUGUCAAACUGGACUUAAAGAAACCUUAGAUACAUGUUGAAGACAAGGCACAUUUUGCCGAGAACUGUAUGUGUGUGAAACAAAAGAGAGUACCAACAUUUUCUGAGGGUAUCGUACGUCAUGAUGUUGUCAGAUCUCUUGUACCUGUACCAACCAGCGGCUGUGCAGACAGACAAGUGAUAUUUUGUCUGUAGUUUCCUUCCUUGUGGAUAUCAUUUUCAAACGGACAGGCUGUCAGUACAGGGUCUGUACCCAGUCUACAGCGCUGUGAUUCGAUACUAACGUAUUCCUGGAUGACAUUUGAUGACCUGUGCAGAGACUUUGUGAAUUGUGUGGAAGGUGUGCGAGUGUGAUAUGUGUAUAAUUUGUAUGUAUUCUGCUUUAUUUUGUGUUGUAUAUAUAAAUUUAGCAUUUUGUUGAA